rnacentral:rRNA from 1 species
GUCUACGGCCAUACCAUCCUGAAUGCACCUGGUCUUGUCUAAUCUCAGAAGCUAAGCAGGGUUGGGCCUGGUUAGUAUUUGGAUGGGAGACCAUUGGGGAACACUGGGUGCUGUAAGCU